UACAGAGGUCUCAAGCGUUGUUCGGAUUCAUUGGGCGUAAAGGGCGCGUAGGCUGCGGGCAAGUCGGGUGUGAAAUCUCAGGGCUCAACCCUGAAACUGCACUCGAUACUGCUCUGCUUGAGGACUGGAGAGGAGACUGGAAUUCACGGUGUAGCAGUGAAAUGCGUAGAUAUCGUGAGGAAGACCAGUGGCGAAGGCGGGUCUCUGGACAGUUCCUGACGCUGAGGCACGAAGGUCAGGGGAGCAAACCGGG
rnacentral:rRNA from 1 species